UUAAAAACAAAAUUAGCCGGGCAGUGGUGGCACACACUUUUAAUCCCAGAACUUGGGAGGCAGAGGCAGGUGCAUCUCUGAGUUUGAGGC
rnacentral:miRNA from 1 species